rnacentral:rRNA from 1 species
AGCUCCAAUAGCGUAUAUUAAAGUUGUUGCGGUUAAAAAGCUCGUAGUUGGAUUUCUGCCGAGGACGACCGGUCCGCCCUCUGGGUGAGUAUCUGGCUCGGCCUGGGCAUCUUCUUGGAGAACGUAUCUGCACUUGACUGUGUGGUGCGGUAUCCAGGACUUUUACUUUGAGGAAAUUAGAGUGUUUCAAGCAGGCACACGCCUUGAAUACAUUAGCAUGGAAUAAUAAGAUAGGACCUCGGUUCUAUUUUGCUGGUUUUCGGAGCUUGAGGUAAUGAUUGAGAGGGACUGACGGGGGCAUUCGUAUUACGGUGUUAGAGGUGAAAUUCUUGGAUCGCCGUAAGACGAACUACUGCGAAAGCAUUUGCCAAGAAUGUUU